GGCUGUAGCUGAUGCCCAGCUGUACCGUGGGGCGGAGAAGUGCUGCUCUGCCUGCCCGAAGGCAGCGGGUUUGCCUCUGCUGAAUCUUCAAAGCUCCUCGAUCCACACAUCGGUGGAGGGUUGGAUUUCCCUAGGAGAAGACCUGAGACAAACACGGAGUCAACCUUCUUUAUUUGAAGGGAAGCCUGGAGGGACCAGGACGGGAGAGGGAAAGAGGUCCUGGUAAGAAACACAGAACUAACAAGUGACCACC